UUAUUUUGACCAAAUAAUUUUAUGUACGACUUAAUUGCCUUGAUUCAUGUUAAAAUAUACACACCAAUCGUACUAUUAUCAAACCAUACACUGCACAAGAUAUUCCAUUCGUUAUCACAUUGAGUAUAUCCGAUGACGAUAAUGUCCAUAUGCUAUUUAAAGUACCACCGAUUUAUCCUGAAAACAAAGGAAAACAUACGUUUAUUCAAUUUGACAUAUGUUCGUCAAGAAAAAAAGAAGAAAUUUAGAAAAAUGAAGGAAAUAUUUUAAAAGAUGAAUUAUCUAAGUUGGAAGAAAACUACCUUCUAUCUAAGAUGACAGAGAAUAAAAAGUUAACAAAGCCUUUAUAACAGAAAAAUUUUUGGGAAAGAUAAGUAUUGCUACCUCAGUGCCCUCUUCAUUGAUAUCGAAUGCCGUUUAAAUUAAGCGCGCGAAUUAUAAUAAAACAUUCAAAAUAAAUAUUGAAUCCAAUGAUGCAAAUAUUAUCGAUAAAUAUCAAGUAAUAUCAUUUUUAUUAAUAUGAUCGUGAUAUUUACAUAAGCUUUAAUACAAUAAUAAUGUUAGAAUUGACAGUAUUAUUUCAUUACGAUGUCAUUUCAAUAAUAAAAAGAUAUAUACUGAGGCAGCAUUUCAAAUUAUAUUAUUAUAUAUUAUCUCGAUAAUAUAUUUUUCUCGAUAGUAGUUUUUUUUCAUGAUUAUUUUUUAUGAUAAGUGUUCUUUAUGAAACUUUCAAUAUUUUCUACGAUCAGAUUUAAUUGGCAUUGGAUACUGUCCUGGAUAACGAGAUCUAAUAAAUUUUCCAGGUGGGCAAAUUGGCCAUGGGGUUACAAGACAUUGUGGUUGACCUUGGCAUUGAGUUAAUGGACACGAGUCCUGAAGCCCAUUUCUAUGCAAACACAUACAUUUUGAAUAUAAAAUUCCACCACGCAUUUCAGGAAAUUUUAAGUCUGUUAUCCUCUAAAAUAGAUGUUUAUAUUUUUCAAAAAUUACAAUUGCUAAUGUUUAAAUUAAUUCUACUUUUAUAGUUUUUACUAACUGAUGUUUUUCUGCAACCACUUUUUAAACUACUGUCUGUACGUCUAAUUUGUCUCUUGCUAUAUUGACAUUGACUUUUAUCCUUAAAAACUGUCUUGUCAACAGGUAUCAUUAUAUAUAAUGGUUCUUGUUGCUUUUCUAUUUUUUGUUUUAAUAAUUGCAUUUUGUUGUGGCUAUAAAAUAAAUAUAUUAUCAUAUUAAAAAAAAACAAAAAAAAAAGAAGAGAAAAAAAGAAAUUUAAUACACAGUAAAAAAUUAUUUUUCGACAUAACUUAUCGUGAACUAACCAUUCUAAAUCUUUCACUACAGCUUUCAAACCACAAAUAACGUCAGCUGCGUCAAUAGUUUCAGUUUCAGACAUACUGAUAAUUUUGUAUUAUGUUAAACGGAUUUAAAAUUUGUUUAUUUCAUACUUAAUAAUUUUGUAAUAAAUUUAUAUGUUGUUGGCCCAAACUUGUUGAAUUUAAAGGAAUAUUAAAGAGUAAGUUACUACUAAUAGUUUUGUUUUGUUUUUGAAUAUUAGUUGUUAUGGGAAUGUUAAUUUCUUUUUCCUUUUUUUUUUUCAUUCAUUCUUUGGCAUAAUCUACGUGGAAAUUUUAUUAAGAUAAAACAUUAUACAUAUUGUAAAUAAUAAUUACCAUAAUACAAUAUUAUAACGUGAAUAGAAAAAAAAAUUUUUUACUUCAUUUCCGUAUUUAUAAGACAAAUCAAAAAACAAAUGUAAUUAUAUUACGUAUAUAAUAUUGCAAUAAUUUAUUUAUAAUCUAUAGUUAAAUCUUUAAAUUUUUUACUAUUAAUUAUAUUUGCUAUUAUUAAAAACAUUAUAAAAAAAAAAAAGAUAUAAUAAGCUAAAAGAUAUAUAUAUAUAUAAGCUAAUAUACACGUAUAUUACGUAUGUAAUGAUAUACAGGGUUAUAGUUUCAUAUAUUCAUAUAGGGUUAUUGCUAUAUAAAUACAGUAAUUUCAAAUAACGAAAAUUUUAAGGGUGGCCAAUAUUCCAUCAGAAUUAACUAAAAAC